GAAAUCAACGGCAGGAGAUCUGCCGGAAUUUGAUUAGAGAAAGAAAAACCGUACAAUACAGACCAGAGCGAGCAAAAUAAAAUUAAAAAUUACAGAUCAAGGGGGCUUAAAAGCCGAGCUACGAAGGUCAAUUUCCUGCUUGACAAAAUAAGCUACGUCCAUCUCUGAUCUAACAGAACUUGUGAAAAUCCUAUUAUUCCUUUCCAACCAAAUAUUCCACCAUGUUGUGAGGAGAGCUCCUCUUGUUUUCAGCUUUUGCUCUUUUGAACCGUGACGAUCGAUUUCGUUGGAUGUUCCGCCUGGGGGUUGAGCAUUUCCUCCUGCCAAGUUUAGCCAUGAGCAAACGAGGUUCCAUACUUGUCUGACAAAAGGGCAUUCACUGAACCUUAAUGAAAUUUGAUCCGUAAAAAAAAAAAAAGAACGGCUAUUCAGAGUCCCACAGUGCAGUUCCUCUGUUCUUUCGCUGCAGAAAUCCUGAGCAUGCAAGUGUUAAACUAUGUGUGGUUCGAAACGUGCACGCACAAGUAUUCUCUCUUGAUCUGAACAUUUUCGUUUGCCUGAAUGAAGCAUUGUUACAGCCGAGAUAGUUUAAUUUAACUUGGGAGUAUUAAAAAUCUGCCGCAAAUUUGAAAAACUUUCAGAUAUAACUAUAACAUAAUUGAAAUUUAAUUACAUUAUAACUACACUAUAGCUACACUAUAACUGCAGUGCAAUUACCGGUAUAACUUAUAUAAAACUUGUAUUCAACUAUAGGUUGGUUGGCUCGCACUAGAAUCUUACGUGUGACAAGUGCGAAAUUUUCUUUUUCCUUCAUGCAUAAAUUUCGAGGUGAUAUGAGGUUCAUAGAUCUAAAAGUUUUGAAGGCAAAAAAAAAAAAAACUUGUAGAAGUUCUCUAGCAAUUAUGUUUAACUUUAUUGUUGUUGUUUAGUUGGCAGUCAUGUGUAGUAUUUACAUUUCAUUUGAAAAUGCAAGAUGUGUUUUGAAACAAUGGGUUUUGAUAAUUGGGUAUUAAAUCAAAACUCGUGUAGAUUUUCUUCUUAGGUAAUGGAUUACUAUAUAAAAAAAAUAAAUCUAGUAGGUGUGCACUGCGCGUAGCAUUAGUUUCAUCUGUACUGUUUGUUAUUACUCGUAGCGAAAUCAACGGCCUAUAUAUUGCUUUCCAUUUCCCUUUGGAAACGAAAAAUAAUGAAAAUACUUCGAAAAAAAAGAAAAAUAAUGAAAAUGGAGAAGAGGAUGGACUGAAUUCAUCACUCAAUCACACAAGCAUUUCCACUCACGAUUGGACAGUGUAUAUGCGUGCCCAAAAACUGUCCCAUGAAGACUAUAUCAUAAGCAUGAAAGGCAUCGGGAAUUAUACGGAGAGUAUCACAUCAAUCAAAGGUAACACACAAAUCCAAACAUUAAAAUGUUAUCGAUGCCAUGACUGAUCUGCAUCAAUCCGCUCGGCAUGGAGCAGAACUGCAGAAGCUUCAGAAUGGCAUGAUCAAUUGCCAGCUAUUUAUCCUAGAUUUGUUGACUACUUAGAGCAAGCAGGGGUGGCUUAUCUUGCCCACGCCCAACUCGACAGUUUAAUCUUCUCCUUAUCUUAAUGAAAUUAGGUCAGCCAACUUUUGACCGACCUGACAAAAAAUAAAAAAGAAUAUAUGACAUACUAGACUUGCAGAUAUCAAA